rnacentral:rRNA from 1 species
GCUACGGGAGGCAGCAGUGGGGAAUAUUGCACAAUGGGGGAAACCCUGAUGCAGCCAAGCCGCGUGAGGGAAGACGGCUUUCCGGAUGUUAAGCUCUAUCAACUGGGAAGAAGAACGACGCUACCUGGCUCCGCCGCCCCGGCUCCCUCCGUGCCAGCAGCCGCGUUAAUCCGUAGGGGUCAAGCGUUAUCCGGAUUUACUGGGUGGAUAGGGAGCGUAGACGGGUGUGCAAGUCAGAUGUGAACGCCCGUGUCUCAACAGUGGAAUUGCAUUGGACACUGUAGAGCUUGAGUACUGGAGAGGCAGGCGGAAUUCCUAGUGUAGCGGUGAAAUGCGUAGAUAUUAUGAGGAACACCAGUGGCGAAGGCGGCCUGCCGGACAGAAACUGACGCUGAGGCUCGAAAGCGUGGGGAGCAAACAGGAUUAGAUACCCCUGUAGUC